CCUACGGGGGGCUGCAGUGGGGAAUAUUGCACAAUGGGCGCAAGCCUGAUGCAGCCAUGCCGCGUGUGUGAAGAAGGCCUUCGGGUUGUAAAGCACUCUCAGCGGGGAGGAAGGCGGUGAGGUUAAUAACCUCAUCGAUUGACGUUACCCGCAGAAGAAGCACCGGCUAACUCCGUGCCAGCAGCCGCGGUAAUACGGAGGGUGCAAGCGUUAAUCGGAAUUACUGGGCGUAAAGCGCACGCAGGCGGUCUGUCAAGUCGGAUGUGAAAUCCCCGGGCUCAACCUGGGAACUGCAUUCGAAACUGGCAGGCUAGAGUCGUGUAGAGGGGGGUAGAAUUCCAGGUGUAGCGGUGAAAUGCGUAGAGAUCUGGAGGAAUACCGGUGGCGAAGGCGGCCCCCUGGACAAAGACUGACGCUCAGGUGCGAAAGCGUGGGGAGCAAACAGGAGUAGAUACCCCUGUAGUC
rnacentral:rRNA from 1 species